AUACGUAGGUGACAAGCGUUAUCCGGAUUUACUGGGUGUAAAGGGAGCGUAGACGGUAAAGCAAGUCUGAAGUGAAAGCUCGGGGCUCGACCCCGGAACUGCUUUGGAAACUGUUUUACUGGAGUGCAGGAGAGGUAAGCGGAAUUCCUAGUGUAGCGGUGAAAUGCGUAGAUAUUAGGAGGAACACCAGAGGCGAAGGCGGCUUACUGGACUGUAACUGACGUUGAGGCUCGAAGGCGUGGGGAGCAAACAGGAUUAGAUACCCUGGUAGUCCACGCGGUAAACGAUGAUCACUAGGUGUCGGCGGCCAUAGGCGGUCGGUGCCGCAGCAAACGCAAUAAGUGAUCCACCUGGGGAGUACGUUCGCAAGAAUGAAACUCAAAGGAAUUGACGGGG
rnacentral:rRNA from 1 species